AGUGUGACCAGAUGUUCUGGUUUGCCUGGGACUGAGAGGGUUCCAGAGACACUGGACUUUCACUGCUCAAACUGAAGU
rnacentral:miRNA from 1 species